GUGGAGGGGGCGGGGUGGAACGAGGAAGUGUUUGUUUCAGCGCAGCAGUGGGGGUCAGCUGGGGAUUCUGAGCAGUGUCCCCUCUGAGGUCCACUGGGGACCCCUGCAGCCUGGGUCUGUGGGGGUGACAGCACCCAGUGUCGGGGUGUGACGGAGGCAGGAUGGUGUGUGAAUUUUUCCUCCUCUCCUCCAUCUGGUUCGUGGUGGUUAUAUUUUGGAUGGAAACGAUCAGUAUGUGGCUUUUUCUAUGCCAUCUAUUCCAGGACCGAGCCAUGUACCAGUGGGGAGACAGGAUUUACGUCUCCCAUCCUGACCAGAUCAUGUACGUAAUUAUUAGAGUUGAUUCGCUCAGGUAGCCCCGCAGUGAAGCUGGAUGAAUAGAAGGAGCAUAAAGGGAAAUUUAUGGACGUUUUCACUCACAUCAAAAAGGGAAAAGAUGCAAUUUUUAAUCCGUAUUUUGUAGAUUUGUUUUUAUAAUGACUGUAAACAGACUGGAGCUCCUCGCAGUGAUGCGGUACGCCUUGGAAAAGGGAACUCUGACAUCUCUGAGCAGGAAAGGGUCACCCCUAUGACAUGUCAUCUUGGGAUCUGAUAGACAUCAGAAUCUUCAUUGUUUGGACACUUAUCGAUGUCCAGGGAUUGAGACCUGUUCAGAUGUGGCCUCAUUUUUGUUACAGAAUGUGCACAUGAAUCAAGCUUAUUGUCUUUACGCAAAUUCCAAUCUGUUUCAGUAUUUCUAUAUUUUGAAAAUAAAUCUUAUUUUCAAU